CACGUGAGUAACCUGUCUUCGGGUUUGGGAUAACCAUCCGAAAGGGUGGCUAAUACCGGACAAAGUUGCUGAGCGCAAGCUCAGCAAUGAAAGGGGGCCUCUGCAUAGCAAGCUCCUGCCUGAAGAGGGGCUCGCGGCCCAUCAGCUAGUUGGUGGGGUAAUGGCCUACCAAGGCGAUGACGGGUAGCCGGCCUGAGAGGGUGGUCGGUCACACGGGCACUGAGACACGGGCCCGACUCCUACGGGAGGCAGCAGUGGGGAAUCUUGGGCAAUGGGCGCAAGCCUGACCCAGCGACGCCGCGUGGGGGAAGAAGGCCUUCGGGUCGUAAACCCCUGUUCUGAGGGAAGAACCUGGUUAUGAUGAAUAAUCAUAGCCAGCUGACGGUACCCCAGGAGAAAGCCACGGCUAACUGCGUGCCAGCAGCCGCGGUAAUACGCAGGUGGCGAGCGUUGCCCGGAAUUACUGGGCGUAAAGGGUGCGUAGGCGGCAUGGCAAGUUGCUGGUUAAAGCCCGGGGCUCAACCCCGGAAAGGCCAGCAAUACUGCCUUACUUGAGGACCGGAGAGGCUGGCGGAAUUCCCGGUGUAGGGGUGAAAUCCGUAGAUAUCGGGAGGAACACCGGUGGGGAAGUCGGCUAGCUGGACGGUUCCUGACGCUGAGGCACGAAAGCGUGGGGAGCAAACCGGAUUAGAUACCCGGGUAGUCCACGCCGUAAACGAUGGGUGCUAAGUCU
rnacentral:rRNA from 1 species